UGGUUCCCAACACGUCUUCUCUGCUGUUGGACGAGCUGCACCAGGAGGCCCAAGGGAUGUACACCUGUCAGGCCAUCUACAACACUGACCGGGGAGCUACAAUCACCUUCUACUACACACACCUAGAGGUGGUGGAGGAGGACUGAGAGGGAGAGAGACGGAGAGAGAGGGAGAGGGAGCAGGGAGAGAGAGAGAGAGAGAGAGAGAGAGAGAGAGAGAGAGAGAACUUUGAACAGGGUGUUACUGUAGUAAGUUCAGCACUUUAAUCAGUGAAAUGACUGCUGUGUGUGUUUUUAAUCUACCUGUUGACAAGAUGACUGACAGAUGAGUGUUCCUCAAAAGACUAAAUGCUUUCUUAACCAAUCAGGUGACAGACUAACAACAUGAAUGGUUGGCACUGCUGAGCACCAUAACUCAACUCAGACUACAGAGAGAAACAACAAAAUGGCAGCCAAAAUGACAAAGCAGAAAGGAGAGAUCCAGCGAUGAUUGUUCCUCUAUGUUGACCAGGUCGUUAUUGUGAUGUAAAAUGUGUUCCCAAUGACUACAAUAAAAGUUUAAAUACGC